UACUCACAUUAAUUUGCAAGAAAUGACUAUUCAUCAGGUAAGCAGUUUAGACUCCUAUCCUGAGUACUUUUUUUGUCAUUGAUUUUAUGUUCUGUAUUUAGAAAAUUAGAGCUAACAGAGUUUUCAGCAUAGUAUUCUUUUCAUUGUCAACAUUAGUAAAGUCUGUUCCUUCAUCUUAGACGAGCUUUAGCUUACCUUCGCU
rnacentral:lncRNA from 1 species